CACGUAGGGUGCGAGCGUUGUCCGGAAUUAUUGGGCGUAAAGAGCUCGUAGGCGGUGUGUCGCGUCGGCCGUGAAAACCUGCAGCUUAACUGUGGGCGUGCGGUCGAUACGGGCAUCACUGGAGUUCGGCAGGGGAGACUGGAAUCCCUGGUGUAGCGGUGAAAUGCGCAGAUAUCAGGAGGAACACCGGUGGCGAAGGCGGGUCUCUGGGCAACAACUGACGCUGAGGAGCGAAAGCGUGGGGAGCGAACAGG
rnacentral:rRNA from 1 species